rnacentral:pre_miRNA from 7 species
AGCUUCUGUAAGACUCCCUUUCAGGGACCCCCACUCUAGUCUCAGGAGUGAGAGAGCACCCAAAGAAACAUGAGAAUCC